GACGAACGCUGGCGGCGUGCCUAAUACAUGCAAGUCGAACGCAGUGGGGACGGGUGAGUAACACGUGGGUAACCUCCCAUCAGAGGGGAUAACACUUGGAAACAGGUGCUAAACCGAUACUGAUGGAUGGACCCGCGGUGCAUUAGCUAGUUGGUGAGGUAACGGCUCACCAAGGCCACGAUGCAUAGCGGAGCUGAGAGGGUGAUCGGCCACACUGGGACGGAGAAACGGACCAGAUUCCUACGGGAGGCAGCAGUAGGGAAUAGUCGGCAAUGGACGAAAGUCUGACCGAGCAACGCCGCGGGAGUGAAGAAGGUUUUCGGGUCGUAAAACGCUGUUGUGAGAGAAGCGGUAUCUAACGAGGAAGCCACGGCUAACUCCGUGCCAGCAGCCGCGGUAAUUC
rnacentral:rRNA from 1 species